ACGCUGGCGGCACGCCUAACACAUGCAAGUCGAACGAAGUAGCAAUACUUAGUGGCAGACGGGUGAGUAACAUGUAGGUAUCUGCCCUUUGGCCUGGAAUAACACGAGGAAACUUGUGCUAAUACCGGAUAAGUCUUUACGGAGAAAGCUUUAUGCACCAUUGGAUGAGCCUGCACUUGAUUAGUUUGUUGGUGGGGUAAUGGCCUACCAAGACUGUGAUCAAUAGCUGAUUUGAGAGGAUGAUCAGCCACAUUGGGACUGAGACACGGCCCAAACUCCUACGGGAGGCAGCAGUGGGGAAUCUUGCACAAUGGAGGAAACUCUGAUGCAGCGAUGCCGCGUGAGUGAAGAAGGCCUUUGGGUUGUAAAGCUCUUUCGUCGGGGAAGAAAAUGACUGUACCCGAAUAAGAAGGUCCGGCUAACUUCGUGCCAGCAGCCGCGGUAAUACGAAGGGACCUAGCGUAGUUCGGAAUUACUGAGCUUAAAGAGUUCGUAGGUGGUUGAAAAAGUUAGUGGUGAAAUCCCAGAGCUUAACUCUGGAACUGCCAUUAAAACUUUUCAGCUAGAGUAUGAUAGAGGAAAGCAGAAUUUCUAGUGUAGAGGUGAAAUUCGUAGAUAUUAGAAAGAAUACCAAUUGCGAAGGCAGCUUUCUGGAUCAUUACUGACACUGAGGAACGAAAGCAUGGGUAGCGAAGAGGAUUAGAUACCCUCGUAGUCCAUGCCGUAAACGAUGUGUGUUAGACGUUGGAAAUUUAUUUUCAGUGUCGCAGCGAAAGCGAUAAACACACCGCCUGGGGAGUACGACCGCAAGGUUAAAACUCAAAUGAAUUGACGGGGACCCGCACAAGUAGUGGAGCAUGUGGUUUAAUUCGAAGAUACGCGCAGAACCUUACCAACACUUGACAUGUUCGUCGCGACUCUAAGAGAUUAGAGUUUUCGGUUCGGCCGGACGAAACACAGGUGCUGCAUGGCUGUCGUCAGCUCGUGUCGUGAGAUGUUGGGUUAAGUCCCGCAACGAGCGCAACCCUCACUUUUAGUUGCCAUCAUUAAGUUGGGCACUCUGAAAGAACUGCCAGUGAUAAGCUGGAGGAAGGUGGGGAUGACGUCAAGUCCUCAUGGCCCUUACGUGUUGGGCUACACACGUGCUACAAUGGUAUCUACAACAGGAAGCAAGACUGCGAAGUUAAGCAAAUCCCUAAAAGAUACCUCAGUUCGGAUUGCACUCUGCAACUCGAGUGCAUGAAGCUGGAAUUACUAGUAAUCGUGGAUCAGCGUGCCACGGUGAAUGCGUUCCCGGGUCUUGUACACACCGCC
rnacentral:rRNA from 1 species